GGAAAGCAGAGGGGGCAUGCUUUUUGUCGACUAUAAAAACGCGACACUGACAAGGCAGAGUCACUGGACCCGCAGGUACGGAAGCGAGAACGUCGACUUUGAGGCCCUUCAUCACAACAACCUGGAUAUGAAGCUGCAAAGGAAAAUGGCAGAGAACAAACCUGGAAAAUCAUAUUGAGGAAAAAAAAUGGAUUGAAUGUGUGGUUUUAUUUUUUUGUAACUGAAGUUUCCCAGUGAGCCGGCAGAACUUCGAUGAAUAAAACUGCACUUGCUUUACGUUGAGCCACACGCACAAUACAUGUGGAUUCAGUUUUGUUCGUUCGGCUCGCGUUAAGCAAGUGCAGAACUUCUUCAGUGCUAUUUUUGGACUAGAAAUUACACCACUUAUUAAUUUCUUUAGCGUUUCUUGGGGGAGAAAGUCUCCAGUAACCCAUAAAUGCAUUCAUCAAUGUGAAAUCCUCACACAAAUGAUCAUCUCUCUUCUGAAACGGUCAUGAUUUACAAUGUCAUCUGUCAUCCGACACCAUGUUUGUCGAGUUCUCCACUUCCUCUACUCUGUGCUGCUUUUAACUGCUCACCUAUGUUGCAGUGAUGUAAUGGCAAAAUAAAGUUUGCUUUUUGUUUCUCUCAA